rnacentral:rRNA from 1 species
GACGAACGCUGGCGGCGUGCCCAACACAUGCAAGUUGAGCGACGAACCAGGGCUUGCCCUGGGGCAAAGCAGCGAACGGGUGAGUAACACGUGGGUAACCUACCCCGAUAACCGGGACAACCCGAGGAAACUCGGGCUAAUACCGGAUGUGCUCACUGGACUUCGGUUCAGUGCGUAAAGGAAGCUUCGGCCUCCGUAUCGGGAGGGGCCCGCGGCCCAUUAGUUUGUUGGUGAGGUAACGGCUCACCAAGACCGCGAUGGGUAGCUGGUCUGAGAGGGCGAUCAGCCACACUGGGACUGAGACACGGCCCAGACUCCUACGGGAGGCAGCAGUGGGGAAUCUUGCGCAAUGCGCGAAAGCGUGACGCAGCAACGCCGCGUGGGGGAAGAAGGCCUUCGGGUUGUAAACCCCUUUCAGGAGGGACGAAGGUUCGGCGGUGAAUAGCCGUCCGGACUGACGGUACCUCCACAAGAAGCCCCGGCUAACUACGUG